rfam:Schistosoma mattheei strain Denwood, Zambia genome assembly, scaffold: SMTD_scaffold0014948
AUCUAGUUGAUGAGUCUCAAACGGGACGAAAUGUACGUCCUAGAU